GACGAACGCUGGCGGCGUGCUUAACACAUGCAAGUCGAACGGAAAGGCCCUGCUUUUGUGGGGUGCUCGAGUGGCGAACGGGUGAGUAACACGUGAGUAACCUGCCCUUGACUUUGGGAUAACUUCAGGAAACUGGGGCUAAUACCGGAUAGGAGCUCCUGCUGCAUGGUGGGGGUUGGAAAGUUUCGGCGGUUGGGGAUGGACUCGCGGCUUAUCAGCUUGUUGGUGGGGUAGUGGCUUACCAAGGCUUUGACGGGUAGCCGGCCUGAGAGGGUGACCGGCCACAUUGGGACUGAGAUACGGCCCAGACGCCUACGGGAGGCAGCAGUGGGGAAUAUUGCACAAUGGGCGGAAGCCUGAGGCAGCAACGCCGCGUGCGGGAUGACGGCCUUCGGGUUGUAAACCGCUUUCGCCUGUGACGAAGCGUGAGUGACGGUAAUGAGUAAAGAAGCACCGGCUAACUACGUG
rnacentral:rRNA from 1 species